GAUGAACGCUGGCGGCGUGCCUAAUACAUGCAAGUCGAGCGAACAGACGAGGAGCUUGCUCCUCUGAUGUUAGCGGCGGACGGGUGAGUAACACGUGGAUAACCUACCUAUAAGACUGGGAUAACUUCGGGAAACCGGAGCUAAUACCGGAUAACAUGUUGAACCGCAUGGUUCAACAGUGAAAGACGGUCUUGCUGUCACUUAUAGAUGGAUCCGCGCCGCAUUAGCUAGUUGGUAAGGUAACGGCUUACCAAGGCAACGAUGCGUAGCCGACCUGAGAGGGUGAUCGGCCACACUGGAACUGAGACACGGUCCAGACUCCUACGGGAGGCAGCAGUAGGGAAUCUUCCGCAGUGGGCGAAAGCCUGACGGAGCAACGCCGCGUGAGUGAAGAAGGUCUUCGGAUCGUAAAACUCUGUUAUUAGGGAAGAACAAAUGUGUAAGUAACUAUGCACGUCUUGACGGUACCUAAUCAGAAAGCCACGGCUAACUACGU
rnacentral:rRNA from 1 species